AGUGAACGCUGGCGGUAGGCCUAACACAUGCAAGUCGAACGGCAGCACAGUAAGAGCUUGCUCUUACGGGUGGCGAGUGGCGGACGGGUGAGGAAUACAUCGGAAUCUACUUUUUCGUGGGGGAUAACGUAGGGAAACUUACGCUAAUACCGCAUACGACCUACGGGUGAAAGCAGGGGAUCUUCGGACCUUGCGCGAUUGAAUGAGCCGAUGUCGGAUUAGCUAGUUGGCGGGGUAAAGGCCCACCAAGGCGACGAUCCGUAGCUGGUCCGAGAGGAUGAUCAGCCACACUGGAACUGAGACACGGUCCAGACUCCUACGGGAGGCAGCAGUGGGGAAUAUUGGACAAAGGGCGCAAGCCUGAUCCAGCCAUACCGCGUGGGUGAAGAAGGCCUUCGGGUUGUAAAGCCCUUUUGUUGGGAAAGAAAAGCGGCAGGUUAAUACCCCGCUGUUCUGACGGUACCCAAAGAAUAAGCACCGGCUAACUUCGUG
rnacentral:rRNA from 1 species